CUAAAUAAAGCUCUCUCCCGCUUUUAGAAGUGAGAACGUCAUCGUGUUCUCCGCUCGUAAACCACACUCACCGUCCCUAGUUUGCUCUGAUUCUCUUCCCUUCGGGGUGAAGAUGACAAUUGUCGGAGCUCCCUCCCAGUGGAUGAGGGUUAGUAUUAUAUAUAUCAUUCAGAAAGUUAUUGCAUUGGUUACUUGUUGCCAACAAGUUGUUGGGCCUUAUUCUUCAGUACUGAAUAUGCUGGCAUGACACUUUACACACUCGUCUUUGCAGUAAUCACUUUUAUGGAAUUGACAUUUUUUGCAAGAUUUUUGAGCCAUAGUUGAUUGAUGGCCCAAUUGUGAAAGCAACGUUGUUGCAAACAAUCGGCAGCCCCAAAAUGGGGCUGGUCCUUGGAUUCUAUUAUUGUCUGUGUAUACCUAUGUAGGGUUGAUACAUGAUGUAAACCCUUACCAGCAUCUGAAGUAAAAAAAAAAAAUCAUUCUGAGA